rnacentral:ncRNA from 1 species
AUAGGGGAAGCUGAAAACCUGAUAGAGUAAGCA